rnacentral:rRNA from 1 species
CGUAGGGGGCCAGCGUUGUCCGGAUUCAUUGGGCGUAAAGCGCGUGUAGGCGGCCAGGUAGGUCCGAUGUGAAAUCUGGAGGCUCAACCUCCAGCUGUCAUUGGAAACCAUCUGGCUAGAGUCCGGAAGAGGAGAGUGGAAUUCCUGGUGUAGCGGUGAAAUGCGCAGAUAUCAGGAAGAACACCGAUGGCGAAGGCAGCUCUCUGGGACGGUACUGACGCUGAGACGCGAAAGCGUGGGGAGCGAACAGGAUUAGAUACCCUGGUAGUCCACGCCGUAAACGAUGGGCGCUAGGUGUGGGCGGUGUCGACUCCGUCCGUGCCGAAGCUAACGCAUUAAGCGCCCCGCCUGGGGAGUACGGCCGCAAGGCUA